UACGAACUGUGCAAACGUUAUUCGGAAUCACUGGGCUUAAAGGGUGCGUAGGCGGCUUGUUAAGUAGGGUGUGAAAUCCCCCCGGCUCAACCGGGGAAUUGCGCCCUAAACUGGCGAGCUGGAGUGAGAUAGGGGUGUGUGGAACUUCCAGUGGAGCGGUGAAAUGCGUUGAUAUUGGAAGGAACGCCAGUGGCGAAAGCGACACACUGGGCUCAACUGACGCUGAGGCACGAAAGCCAGGGGAGCAAACGGGAUUAGACGUACCCG
rnacentral:rRNA from 1 species